UGCACUUAGAAUCACGCCUGGUAGAGUUAGCCCUCGGUAAACACAAGCUGGCAUCACUUCUUCAGAGAGCAAGAAGAAUAUCCCUUUGGGAGACGAAGAGAGUCAUCAGAGUUGUAUGGAUCCCAGCCCACCACCCCUCAGGAACAGAAAACCAGGACACGGAAGGGAGCACACAGCACCAUGUUGUCAAAAGAUCACAUGCUUUGGAAUCAGAAGACCCGAGUUCAAAUCCUGACUCUGCCUCAUAUCAGCCGGUACCAACUUACCAGCCAUGUGAGGGAGUGUGAGUGGAUACUCCAGCCCUGUCUAACCUCCUGAUGACUGCAGCUCUAGCCAACAUCUGACUGCAACCUCGUGAGAGAUCUCAAGAGAGAACUGGCCUGCCGAGCUGCU